rnacentral:rRNA from 1 species
UACGGAGGGUGCAAGCGUUAUCCGGAUUUACUGGGUUUAAAGGGUGCGUAGGUGGGUCUGUAAGUCAGUGGUGAAAUCUCCGAGCUUAACUCGGAAACUGCCAUUGAUACUAUAGAUCUUGAAUUAUCUGGAGGUAAGCGGAAUAUGUCAUGUAGCGGUGAAAUGCUUAGAUAUGACAUAGAACACCAAUUGCGAAGGCAGCUUACUACGGAUCGAUUGACACUGAGGCACGAAAGCUAGGGGGAGCGAAUGGG